rnacentral:lncRNA from 1 species
AUGGUAAACUAUGUUUUUUACUAGUCUUUUGAAUAGCUGUAUAUUUUUUAUUAUUAUUAGGAAUUGAACUCGGAAUUUUAAGGUUUACAAUACUUGCACAUUCUGUGAACCAACCACUUGCACCGAAUCCCGGUGGUGUUGAUUAGUCUUAUUCAUAAAAAAUAUAAUCUUUAAUAUUUACCCUUGUAAUGAUGCAGAUAAUGAUUCCCCAUAACUACACUGAAUUCAUUGAUGGCCUAACCUUACUAGUGAAAAAGAAUGUCAUACCUAUGAGUAGAAUUGAUGAUGCAGUGAAGAGAAUUUUGAGAGUCAAGUUUGUUAUGGGCCUAUUUGAAAAUCCAUUGGCUGAUUACAGCCUUGCCGAUCAGCUCGGGAGCCAGGUUAGUCGAUCAGCUCAGAGCUUACACUGUCAAUCAAUAGUAAUCGUAAGAUCGUUUAAAAUGUUUGGUGUUGACAGGAGCAUAGGGAAUUGGCUAGGGAAGCGGUGAGGAAAUCAUUGGUACUAUUAAAGAAUGGUGAAAAUGUUGAUAAGCCGAUACUUCCUCUUCCUAAAAAGGCUUCCAAAAUACUUGUUGCUGGAAGUCAUGCUGAUAAUCUAGGAUAUCAAUGUGGUGGAUGGACCAUUCAAUGGCAAGGACAAAGUGGCAACAACAUCACCACUGGUAUACAAAACAGCUAUUUUCCGCGAUUUACAAUUGACAGUACUGAUAUUCAUAACAUACAAUGUUAACAUUGCUUAACUAAUAUACAGGUACUCCAAUUCUGAGUGCUAUAAAAAACGCAGUCGACAAAGAAACCAAGGUAUUCUACGAGGAGAAUCCUUCAUUAGACUAUGUAAAAUCCAAUGAUUUUUCAUAUGCAAUUGUGAUAGUUGGAGAGACACCAUAUGCUGAAACAAAUGGUGACAGCUUAAACUUAACAAUCUCUGGACAUGGAUAUGAAACGAUAGACAAUGUAUGCAGCGGAGUGAAAUGUGUCGUUGUGUUAAUCACCGGUAGACCUAUUGUUAUACAACCAUAUCUUGAGAAAAUUGAAGGACUUGUGGAUGAUUGGCUUCCUGGUAGUGAAGGUUCUGGUGUUGCCGAUGUUUUGUUUGGUGAUUAUGGAUUUACCGGUAAACUUCCAAGGACAUGGUUUAAGACUGUUGAUCAGUUACCAAUGAAUGUUGGUGAUUCUCAUUAUGAUCCUUUGUUUCCAUUUGGAUUUGGUCUUACAACUGAAGCUCAUAAGGCUACUUCAGAAUAUUAGAUUUUGUUAAAUCAUUUAGCAUUUUUUGUGUUCUUAGGCUAUUUAUUACUAUUGUAUUUUUUUCUACAUUAGAUGUUAGUACCAAAUUGGUAUUUUCAUAUACUAUGUUUGAAAAAAAAAAUCAGCUUUAAUUGUUAAACUUAUUGAGUUCCAAUUAAAUUUAUAUGUUUUUUGUUUAGACAAAUGUAAGUGGUUAGAAAAUUGUUAACGGCGGAGAUCGAACUCUAACCUCCUUAUGAAUACUUUUUCGAUGUUCUCACUUAUAUUACUGAGCUACACCUUCAAGAUCAAAUCUAUCCGAUGUUAACCUUCUUGAACUUACAUUUUAUGAAUUUCGGAAAGAGACUUUGAAAGUCUAUAUUUGUUUUUAAAAAAAAAAUAAUGCCAAAAGAUAAUGUAGUUUUUGUUUUAAGAAAUAAAUCUUAGGAGGCAAGUAUGAGUUAUGAUGCUUAGAUUGUGAUCUUACCGGAUUUAGUAAGACCACAAAAAAUACAACUAACCGUUGGAGGAGAGAUGUUGAUAUGAGACAAAAAAUAGAAUCUCUCAAGUGUAGGGAUUCUAAUUACUUAAACUAUCAUUAGGGCCUGGUAAGGCUACAAUUAGUUGAGUGGUUCACAAAUUUCAAAAUAUUGCUAUAGAGAAUGAAAUCAAAAUGGAUGAAACAUGAAAUUGAGCUCUAAUGUACCAUUUAUCACCGAAUCAAAAUGGAUGAAACAAUUAUGUAAUAAUCACUACUACAAUUGAAAAUAUAUUUUAAAACUAUCCAUACGUGAUUUGAUCAUUAAAUUUGAACAAUCAUAAACAAAACAAAAAUUAAAAGUAACGUUGUUAAUUAUUUAUUUAAUUGAGAUCAGAAUGGAUCAUAAUCACAUGUUCCAUCGUUGACUAUUUUUUUUUGUUUGUCUAUUUAUAUGUCACACUCUUACAACUACUUUACAAAUAUUCACAUUCUUCCACUUUCAUACUUUGCCUUUUUAUUAUUCUAUGAAAAGUACACAUUUUGUCUCUCCUUUUUUCUGUAACAUUGUAGUGCCACAUAAAAAGUUUGUUUGCCAUAAACUCAAACUUGUAAAUUGGUAGGCAAUUUUUUUUUUUUUUGUUACAUUUUAUUCUUGUAAAUUCUAUUUCUGUUGUUGAUUGUUGAUAUGAAUUAGCAGUGGUCGGCUUCAUGGUAUUACGGGCCGUUAGAUUAAUAAACUUUUCAUCUAACGUCCUCCAUCCAUCCAACUUUAUUGGAAAGUCGGAUAUAUGAUCAAGCCGAUUGCUGAGGAUCGAAGUUUUUGUUUAUUGGUUGAUUGCAAAUAAAUUUCAUGACCAAACUAGAAAUGGGUCUAGAACUAUUUUAUGAAUGGUUUUGUUUUCCAUGAUGUUUUUUAAUUACCAAACAUUGGUUUAGUUGCUUAUUUUCAUUAUUUGUUAUUGGACAUGUUUAUGUCUUGUCCCUUCUUCUCUAGAACUUUUUUCAUUUGGAUUUUGGCAUGUGUCUUUUCUAGAACAUUGUUUUGUUUUCUCUAGAACAUGUUUAUGAAUAAUUUGAAGUUGUUUGUGAUCUUAUUCUGUAGUUGUUUUGAGAGGGAGAAAUGGUCAAAGGUGCAAUCUCUUUGGUGGCCGGGCUAGUGCUCUUCCAUUGUUGGGUAGCAAUGGCAGAAGCGGAGCAUUUGAGAUACAAAGAUUCAAAGCAGCCGUUGAAUACUCGAAUCAAGGAUCUUAUUGACAGGAUGACUUUGGAAGAGAAAAUUGGUCAGAUGGUUCAGAUUGAACGCGGUGUUGCUUCUGCCGAAGUAAUGAACAAGUACUUCAUUGGUAAGAUUUAUUUGCUAAAUUUUUUUUAUCUUUUAAACUAGAUUUUCAAAAAAAUUUGUUAUUGUUCAUUUGAGCUGCAAAAUGAACAUAAGGAAAUUCACUAAGUUUUUUCUUUUUAUCUCCAUGCCUGCAAUGAAAUUUUAAUUGAGGUUGCAUAUGGAUUCGUUGUAGUAACAGUAUCACGUAGUUUCAUGUUGUAAUCCAUCUCGACCAUUGAUUUGAGGUCGGACUGUUUAGAUUACACAUUCAUUACAUCAAUAUUAAACGAUUCCGACAACCGAUUUAGGUCAGAUGGCUAAGUCACUGCUUGAUUUAAGAUGCCAAAUAAUUUGAAUUAGGAUUUUCUUAACUUUUUAUCUUUAAAUUUUUUAUAGGGAGUGUUCUAAGUGGUGGAGGAAGUGUUCCUAAACCAAAGGCUACUGCAAAGGAUUGGGUUGACAUGAUCAAUGAAUUUCAAAAGGGUGCUUUAUCAACUAGGCUUGGAAUUCCAAUGAUAUAUGGAAUUGAUGCUGUUCAUGGAAAUAAUAAUGUCUAUAACGCAACUAUUUUUCCUCACAAUGUUGGUUUAGGAGCUACAAGGUAUGCCUAUAUUUUUUGUGUGAAAAUUUAAGUUCUUCAAAUCCUUUUUUUGGAAGAAAAUAGUUUCUCAAUUCUUGGUUAUUAUUGAUUUCUUUUAUUCAAAUUCAAAAGUCUUCUCUUGUCUGUUGAAAUACUAUGAUUUUAUUAUUGUCUACUAGUUAUAAAAAAUGGAAUAUGUGCAACUAUAAAUUUGUCAAAACGUGCUUUCAUGUUGUCUAGGGAAGGUACACAAUCCAAAUAAAAUAUUACAACUGGUUGAGACCUAUAAUAUAAUGCAAGAUCAUACCUAUAAUAAUUUUAGUGAUGUUAUCAAAUAUAUUUAAUUUAUUAAAGUGUUCAUAUUUUAAUGGUGUAAUAUUUCCUUUGGUUGACUUUUACUCUAUAUUCUUUUUCCUAUGAUAUUAGACUUUAUUGUAAACAAGCAAGCUAUAAUUUUUAAUUUUAAUAUGAAUGUGCGAGGUGUUGUCAUUAUAGUUUUUGAAUGUAUUGAAAUUAUAUGGAUCAAAUCGGCUAAAAAAGACACAUUCGAGAAUCAAACUAACUAACGAAAGACAAAUUUGAGGAUCAAAUAGACUAAUGACACACUACACCAUUUGUUGUCUCUAGCAACACUUUUUAAGCAACAUGUAAAAAUUGUUGCUAAAAGUCUCUAAUUACACAAAGAAAAUGCCUUUUUUUUCACUAUGACUCUUUGUAUUGAUGAUGUAUUUUUUAUAUCCCAAAUUGCAGGGACCCUCAACUGGUGAAGAAGAUUGGUGAAGCAACCGCUCUUGAAUCCAGAGCAACUGGAAUUCCAUAUGUCUUUGCACCUAGCAUCGCGGUAAUUUAGAUAAUCAAAAUUAUACCUUAGCUCUUUGUCGAUCGUAGAAAAUAACAAUUUGUUCAAAUUUCGCUACGCUACAAUGCUAUAGCGCUAGUAUUGGACAACAAAUUGUAUUAAAUAGUGUGUUGCACAACAAUAGCGAUUUGUUCAAAUUUUGCUAUACGCAGUAGCGAUGUUGCGCCGCUUUUGCAAAUAUUUGACAAUAUUGUUCAACCUAAUGACAUAUGUGUUUGAAUUUAUAGGUGUGUAGAGAUCCAAGAUGGGGUAGAUGUUAUGAAAGUUAUAGUGAAGAUCAUAAAAUUGUCCAAGCUAUGACUGAGUUAAUUCCAGGAUUACAAGGUGACCUCCCUGCAAAUUGGUCAAAUGGUGUUCCAUAUGUUGUUGGAAAGUAAGAGAUCAUGAUGCUGCUGCAUCUUUAUAUAUGCGUGUUUCCUAUAUAACAGUUUGGUUUCCUUCCUAAACCGAAACACGAAUAGUCCUGCAUUUAAUUGUUAAUUUUGAAUUUUUUUUUCGUAUACAAUCAUUUGUCUAUGUUACACUAUUAUGUUUAUCUUGCCUUCAUCAAUUACUUUUAUUGACUUUCAGAACUUACUUUGAUUAUAAAUUCAACUUUGCAUCCUUCUUACAAAAUCAUUCUAUUCAUACUUGAACUUAAAACUGAUUUUCUUGUCAUUUCCUUGUACAGCAAGAAAGUUGCAGCUUGUGCUAAGCACUUUGUUGGUGAUGGUGGAACAACAGAAGGAAUCAAUGAGGAUAACACAGUUGCAACCAGACAUGAAUUGUUUAGCAUUCACAUGCAAGCUUACUAUAACUCGAUCACUAAGGUUGUCUUAACCAUCAUGGUCUCAUACUCAAGCUGGAAUGGAGAAAAGAUGCAUUCUAAUCGCGAUUUAGUCACCGGCUUUCUCAAGAACACGCUCCAUUUCAGGGUAAUACUUUACCUCAUAGGCCUUGGAUUUCAUAGUUUCGAAAGAUUAUAUCAAGAAUUUAUUUUUUAUGAAUUAUCUGUGUAAAAGACGUAACAAUAAAUUAUACUAUGACUGUGUAAAAUAGGUGACUAUAUAUUAUAGCAUAAAUAAUUGUAUAUUAACUUAAGCCUGAAAUUGUUUAUUUAUCGAUCAUCAUAUUAGUAUAUGCUUAAAAUUCUAUGUUUUUAUGCAGGGUUUUGUCAUAUCAGAUUGGAAGGGAAUUGACAGGAUAACUUCACCUCCUCAUGCUAACUACACAUUUUCAAUUGAAGCCGGAGUGAAUGCCGGUAUUGACAUGGUAAACUAUGAAUUUUACUAAUCUUUUGAAUAGCCUUAUAUAUUUUAGGGUUUACAAUACUUGCACACUCUGGGAACCAACCAAUUUCUCUAAAUCCUGGUGGUGUUGAUUAGUCUUAUUUGAUUUUAUUCAUAAAAAAUAUGAUCUUUAAUACUUACCCUUUUAAUGAUGCAGAUAAUGAUUCCCUUUAACUACACGGAAUUCAUCGAUGGCCUAACCUUACUAGUGAAAAAGAAUGUCAUACCUAUGAGUAGAAUUGAUGAUGCAGUGAAGAGAAUUUUGAGAGUGAAGUUUGUUAUGGGCCUAUUUGAAAAUCCAUUGGCUGAUUACAGCCUUGCCGAUCAAAUCGGUAGCCCGGUUAGUCGAUGAUCUUGGAUUUAAAUAUGAUUUUAGUCCUAAAAACUUAUACCAUAAAUCCAUAAUGAGAAACUAAAUUGGCAACAUAAUUUGACAGGAG